AGAAGUGAAAACCGAGAAGAUCUGCUGACAGGAGGAUUGGGCAGGCACGCACCCCCUCGUUACACGCGGCGCAGGAGCGGAGGCGUGCACUCUGUGUGCGCGCUGCCGGCGGUAAACAAGGGAGUAUUUCUGGAGCAGCUGCCCUGUGUAAGAGGAGAGGUGCCUGUUGCUGUCCUGCAAAGUUACACUUUUAUAGUAUUUCCAGGUUUUCUCCCAGACCCUCAGACCUUUAAGCAGCCUAAAGGGGUCCAACAGUUGUGCCAUACCUUUGUGAAGUUGUCAGAGAGGAUGUCACUGGAUGGAACAUGUGGCAGCUGUAAGAGAAGGCAAAUAUCAAUAGUGUAGCCUUGCCUCUUCCCCUUCACUCAUCUGAAAGCUGCUAUAGAAAUACUACUGUAUCCUGAAGAAAUUGUGACUGUGCUUGGCUAAUGCUCAGGAUUCACCCAGGAAUUGCAGUGAAAUACACUGAUCGUAGGAGGUGUGAAGUGUGUUUUGCAAACCAACACUUGUCUGAAAGCACUCAGCCCCACCUCAAAUCUGAAUGGAGAAUAGUCUGCUUUAAAAUUUUUUCCAAAGCUUGGAUUAGACUGGAAUAGUUCAGCUGGAAGAGGCCUAUGAGGAUUAUCUAGUCCAACAGCCAUUUUAGACUUUUGCCUUGACUUGGAUCUGAAGUGAGGUGACUUCAGCCACAGCACAGAACAAUGACCACUGUACAGCCACAGCUGCCUGUUGUCCAGUGCUACUGCCACACAUGGGCCCUGAAAGCUUGCCUUAUUCUGAUGCUAUGUCUGUUGGUGACUUAGCACUUGAUUUGGGUAGGAAAAUUAAAAAAGCUAAAUAAAAUAAUGACUCAAA